AUACAGCUGACGAGUCCCAAAUAGGACGAAACGUGCGUCCUGGAU
rnacentral:hammerhead_ribozyme from 1 species